rnacentral:rRNA from 1 species
CAAUAGCGUAUAUUAAAGUUGUUGCGGUUAAAAAGCUCGUAGUUGGAUUUCGGUUAAGAGCGACCGGUCCGCCGUUUGGUGUGCACUGGUUGGUUUUAACUUCCUGUAGAGGACGUGCUCUGGGUUUAACGACCUGGACUCGGAGUCUACGUGGUUACUUUGAAAAAAUUAGAGUGUUCAAAGCGGGCUUACGCUUGAAUAUUUCAGCAUGGAAUAACACUAUAGGACUCCUGUCCUAUUUCGUUGGUCUCGGGACGGGAGUAAUGAUUAAGAGGAACAGUUGGGGGCAUUCGUAUUUCAUUGUCAGAGGUGAAAUUCUUGGAUUUAUGAAAGACGAACUUCUGCGAAAGCAUUUGCCAAGGAUGUUUUCAUUA